rnacentral:rRNA from 1 species
GUGUCAGCAGCCGCGGUAAAACGUAGGUUCCGAGCGUUAUCCGGAUUUACUGGGCGUAAAGCGCGUUCAGGCGGUUUGGCAAGUCGGGCAUGAAAUCUCUCGGCUCAACCGGGAGAGGUUGUCCGAUACUGCUGGACUUGAGGGCAGUAGAGGGUGGUGGAAUUCCGGGUGUAGUGGUGAAAUGCGUAGAUAUCCGGAGGAACACCAGUGGCGAAAGCGGCCACCUGGACUGCACCUGACGCUGACACGCGAAAGCUAGGGGAGCGAACGGGAUUAGAAACCCCUGUAGUCC